CAGCAAAUCCAUUAGGGCAGUGGUGGAAAAAUUGAAGAAGGCGACCGAUGACCAACUGAUUUUGACCUACAACAGAAGCUUUUUUGGUGGGUGUGGACCAACAAGAGGGAUGACCUGAGAAGACAACAACGUGGAAAGGCAGAGGCCCACAGGUUGUCUGCUAAGAACAGCAAAAGGGUCAGAUCAAAACUGGAAAGCAGGCUGAAGGCCAUUGCAACCAUAGACUGGCCGGAGAAGAAGAAGGAGAAAGUUCUACCUCUCUCGAAUGGGAAGAGCUGUCAGACGAAGAGGAUGAAAAUCUUCUCUUGUCAACUGCUUUCUGGUGGGAAAGCAAGAAACUUUGUUCAUAUAAUCGACAAUUGGACAACCAGCGGUUGUUCAAGGCUACUGCAAGGGGCCGAAAAAAUAUGAAGAUGUGGGGAAGACAUCCCACACAAGUCCAACACGCUGAUCUGCCACUGGACAUGCCCAGUUGGGCAGUGAAAAGUUCAGCAGUAGAAGACAAGCUGAACAACACUGCUGAUUUUGAUUCCUGAGACGCAUUUCUGAUGUCCCAUGCUGUGAUGUUGCUUGAAUAUUGCUAAAAGCGGAGUAAAACUAUACUCACUUACUCUUAUGUCCCUGAUGUUAUGUACAUGUAGCUAGAUACAUAAUUAAUUAACCAUGUUCACAAUCAAAGAGUUUU